AGCGAACGCUGGCGGCAGGCUUAACACAUGCAAGUCGAGCGGGCCCUUCGGGGUCAGCGGCCGACGGGUGAGUAACACGUGGGAACGUACCCUUUGGUUCGGAAUAACGCUGGGAAACUAGCGCUAAUACCGGAUACGCCCUUUUGGGGAAAGGCUUGCUGCCGAAGGGUCGGCCCGCGUCUGAUUAGCUAGUUGGUGGGGUAAUGGCCUACCAAGGCGACGAUCAGUAGCUGGUCUGAGAGGAUGAUCAGACACACUGGGACUGAGACACGGCCCAGACUCCUACGGGAGGCAGCAGUGGGGAAUAUUGGACAAUGGGCGCAAGCCUGAUCCAGCCAUGCCGCGUGAGUGAUGAAGGCCUUAGGGUUGUAAAGCUCUUUUGUCCGGGACGAUAAUGACGGUACCGGAAGAAUAAGCCCCGGCUAACUUCGUG
rnacentral:rRNA from 1 species